GCAACGGCCAUCAAAACAUUUUUAUGUGUGAUAAUAAACCUUGUAGGAGAUGGAUGCACCCUCCUUCAGAAGGCGCUGAAAGGAAUACUAAUUAUAGGCCGCUGUACUCCGUAAAAGAACUUAAGGAAGAGCACCUAGUGAGAUAAAGUGUAUGUCUGCCAUAUCAUCCGUUAAACAGCCAGGUUUUUGAAGGAAGAAAGAUGUAGCCCCAGCUCUGGACAAAAAUAUUAUGGAGAAGGUUGGCCGCUGUACAGGGCAGCUAUAGUUAUUAUUAUAUGUUACCUUUUAUUGUUAUGUACUGUUUUUAUACUUUACCA